CCAUACUGGCAGGUGCCAGGUUCACCCACUGAGGAUGUCGAAUCCUGAAUUAUUUUCACAACGGUCUUUAAUUGCGAAGAAAGUAAGCAACACACAUUUCUCACUGGAGAGCCAUAAGCUGUCCCCACUAGUUUGGCAAAUAGCACUCACUCCGGUCUUAAGAUCACACCGGUAAUCUCAACUUUGCCGUCCAGGCUGCACACACAGCUUUUCAGCAUCUUGCUGUAUCAGUAUUGAAAUCUGUGCGCUGUAUCAGUACUGAAAUUUGUGCUCCCCUAUCUAUUAGAAAUUUUACCGAAUGCCUUUGAGGACAGACUUGAAUCAAAAUAUUUGUGCCACUGUUGCUCAUCCUGUGAUAAAACUCCCCUUGCCGGACAGGCAGAUCCAAUCACCUGCUCGUUAUUAGUCUUUUUUUUUGUUGUUUACAGUCUGAAGCGGUGAUUGAGCACCUGGUGAGGGGUGUGGCCAGCCCUGCCAGCACAGGUGGAAGCAAUUUACCUGUGGGACCGGAUAGGGCUGAGCUUGGCUCCACCCCCUCCCUGCCCAUAUUUAAGGGCUGGGAACAGCCAGGGCAGCAUUCAGCUUGAGAUCUGCCUCCAUGGGAGCAUUGGGAGCCAGUUCUGCUCAUUGGAAUGAGGUGAGUGACUGAUGCUUUGUUGUAGGGCUCUGAUCUUUUGCUUUUUAGGGAUCCUGGCAACUUUUAAGGGCUGGAAGCUGUGAGGGCAGCAUCUCUGCAUGGAGGCUGCUUCCUCUGGGGUGUGGGCUGAGUGUUUGUUUUUGGAAUGGGGUCAUUGAUUUUUUCUUUAUUGCUGGAUUGUAAUUUCACUUUUUGUGGGCUCCUGACCACAUUUAAGGGCUGGGAACAGCCAGGGCAGCAUUCUGCUUGGGAACUGCCUCCAUGGGAGCAUUGGGAGCGAGUUCUGCUCGUUAGAAUGGGGGCUGUGAUUUUUCCUGUUUUUGGGGCAUCCUGACCACAUUUGAGUGCUGGCAGAUGUAAGGGCAGCAUUGAUCUCUGGAGGCUGUCUCCUGUGGAGCAUGGGGCUGUUAUGCACUGCUUCCAACCGUGCAGAGUUGUUUAAGGGCAUUCUGUGCACCCUUAGGUGUAAUAAGUCUUCAUCUUUAUAGGAAGCCAAGGUUUGUCCUCUUCUGGACCGCUGU